rnacentral:lncRNA from 1 species
UGGUAAACGUCUGAGACCUGCAUCACUUGGGGCUAUCCUCCCACAUUAAGCUGUCAUGCCGUGAUAUAACUGGAAUACUGUUAAAAGCGGCGUUAAACCCAACUCACUCACUCACUUUUAUCAUUCCUGUCUCCUUUUUGUAGAUAAUACGGAGAUGUAUAAUAUAUGUAUAACACAGAUACAGUGAUAUUCUCAGCAGAUUUCAAAGUAGUCUUGGAAAGAAAGUUUUGAACUAUGACCGUGUUGCCGCUGGCUCUUUAAACUGCCAGUCCCAGUGGACAGGCAAUUCCAAAAAAAACCUCCAAUUUGGUGAGUACCAACUCAAUAAAUAAACAUAUCAAAAUUGCCUGGUUAUAAUUCUUUCAACAGCAUGUUCAAUGCAGUGUAUGUUCAUGCUGGACAAAUUCAAUAAAAUCAUCUCUGAAGUAACUUAGAUGUACACCUCAUUCACACAAAGUUCAGUCAUAUUUUUCUCUCUUAAUAUUUCACUUUGGUUCAAGGCUAAGUCACUACAAAUAGAUAUUUAAAUUCAAAGUACAACGAAAUGUUAUUUCUUUGAAUGAAAAAUAGACAACAGGAAACACUGAUGAUGUAAAAUAGACAAGCUGACUUCGUUUGAAAAAUAUACUUCAUCGAUUAUCGGCGAUGUUUUUGAUUAUUGGCGAUGUUUUUGUUAACAACAAUAAUUUAUAAGGUACUUUAUUUGCCGGUCCUCAGGGACUGGCAGCCAUAUGGAUUACCAGUUCAAACCUUAUUUUACCAUUAAAAAACUGAUAAUUACCAGUAAAUGGGAAUGCUUCUAUGAAGAACAGCUAAUGGUUGUUAUUAUGAAACCAUUAACCUUAUGUCAUUGAUAGAGUUAAUAAAUAUCAAAAUGUGUUUGUCAUAACCAUUGUUUGAUUUGAAAUGAAAGUGUAGAGUGUGAAGUAAAGGACUAAAAUAAUUAUAUGAUUUAUUCUCUGAAAGUACUGCCUUGCAUUCCUGGGUCAUGGGUGGCCAAGAAGUCGAAUGAUCUAGGUGGCCCAGUGGUCUAAUGAUCUGGGUGGCCCAGUGGUCUAAUGAUCUGGGUGACCCAGUGGUCUAAUGAUCUGGGUGCCCCAUAUGUCUAAUGAUUUGGGUGGCCCAGUGGUCUAAUGAUCGGGCUGGCCCAAAGGCCUAAUGAUCUGGGUGGCCCAGUGGUCUAAUGAUCGGGGUGGCCCAGUGGUCUAAUGAUCUGGGUGACCCAAAGGCCUAAUGAUCUGGGUGCCCCAUAUGUCUAAUGAUUUGGGUGGCCCAGUGGUCUAAUGAUCGGGGUGGCCCAGUGGUCUAAUGAUCUGGGUGGCCCAAAGGCCUAAUGAUCUGGGUGGCCCAGUGGUCUAAUGAUGUAAUCAUUGUGCAGAGUUACCUGCAUUGGAGUUGCCAGGAUCUGCUUAUCUCAGUUCCUCCCCACUUAUGAUCCUUGGUUUGUCAGCACCAUACGUGUGCUUGUGGGUGAAUGUCUGUGGCCUGUGUCACUCUGGCCUUCCCUCCUAUAUUAUUAAAUUUAAUACACUGUAACACACAUGCUGUUCAAAGCUGUGUAAACCUAGCUCACUCCUCUCCUUACAUCCCUGAGGAACCUAGAAGACCCAGGUUAGAAUUGAUCUUCAGCAACCCAUGCUUGUCGUAAGAGGCGACUAACAGGAUUGUGUGAUCAGGCUCGCUGACUUGGUUGAGGCACGUCAUCUUAUCCCAGUUGUGUAGAUCAAUGGUAUUGAUGUCAGUCACUGGAUUGUCUGAUCCUGACUCGAUUGUUUACAGACCGCCAUCUUUCAGCUGGAAUAGUGCUGAGUGCGGCGUUAAACAACAACAAUCAAACGUCACUGUGGCAACAGUAGAAAUUUCUUUGAGAAAUAUAAUCAUCAAUUGUAACUUGGAAAGAUCUCUUUUUAAAAUAGCAUGUUAUAUGUUUAAUUUUACCUGUUUAGAAAUAUUUUUACCUCAUUGAAGUGUACUUAGUGACUUCAGAAAAUGUUUAUUGUGGGGUUGCUUGAUUGUUUUCUACCAUUUUGCCUGUCCUAAUAUCAGUCUGAAUACCCACAGUGGUACAGUGCGCAAAGCACAAGCUGGGUGGCCUUUGUUCUUGCCAAAAUAUUGUUCAAUGCAAUGUAAAACAGUGAAACGUGUUGAUAAUUUACAUCUGAGAAAGUAGUUUCUGGUGUUGGGCGAGUUCUUGUGGAGAAUGUUUCCUUAGACAUGCACAGUACCAUGUUAAGUCUGACACUACAUGAAGAGUAUGUUUUCGGAUGCGUGAACUCAGCAGGAGUAUGUGGUGUUGGGAUCACUGACCUGAUGUCAACUCCGGUCUGCAUCACGUUUCCCCGCUACCUGACACACUGUGAUAUAACCCCACAGUUGUCGCUGAGAGAAACAUUUCAAUUCAUAUGUCAUAUCCUGUGAGCAUGUUGUGACAUGUACUGCAUUUGUUCUCUAUAUAUUGUUGACAUAUAUUUGAAUGUGAUGUUUCAACAUUAUGGCUUGUUAUUUGUUGUAUGGACAGGGCUUGAGAAUAGGACUGAGGACUACCAUAACUUGAGUAUCAUUACCUUCACCAGUUCCUUCCAUUGAUAUCACAUGAGGCCUGCUACAGUCUGUCAGUGCCUCCUAUAGCUUGAGCAUGAGGCCUGCUACAAUCUGUCAGUGCCUCCUAUAGCUUUAGCAUGAGGCCUGCUACAAUCUGUCAGUGCCCCCUAUAGCUUGAGCAUGAGGCCUACUACAAUCUGUCAGUGCCUCCUCCUAUAGCUUUAGCAUGGGGUCUACUACAAUAUGUCAGUGACUCCUAUAGCUUUAGCAUGGGGUCUACUACAAUCUGUCAGAGCCUCCUCCUAUAGCUUUAGCAUGGGGCCUACUACAAUCUGUCAGUGCCUCCUCCUAUAGCUUUAGCAUGGGGCCUACUACAAUCUGUCAGUGCCUCCUAUAGCUUUAGCAUGGGGCCUACUACAAUCUGUCAGUGCCUCCUAUAGCUUUAGCAUGGGGUCUACUACAAUCUGUCAGUGACUCCUAUAGCUUUAGCAUGGGGCCUACUACAAUCUGUCAGUGACUCCUAUAGCUUUAGCAUGGGGCCUACUACAAUCUGUCAGUGACUCCUAUAGCUUUAGCAUGGGGCCUACUACAAUCUGUCAGUGCCUCUUGUAGCUUCAGCAUGGGGUCUACUACAAUCUGUCAGUGCCUCCUAUAGCUUUAGCAUGAGGCCUACUACAAUCUGUCAGUGACUCCUAUAGCUUUAGCAUGAGGCCUACUACAAUCUGUCAGUGCCUCUUGUAGCUUUAGCAUGGGGUCUACUACAAUCUGUCAGUGCCUCUUGUAGCUUUAGCAUGAGGCCUACUACAAUCUGUCAGUGCCUCCUGUAGCUUUAGCAUGAGGCCUACUACAAUCUGUCAGUGCCUCCUUUUUCUAUUUGUCACCAUGAAGUGCCUGAGGCACAGUGUAGUAAAGAACUGUAAGUAAGGAUAAGAUAAAUGGGGAACAACUUCUUUUUUACAAUUAGGAGCAAUGCUUUGGUGUAGGUUCUGACACCGUUAUCAAGCAAGUGAUGUACCGAGUAUGGUUGACAAGCAUAUAUACAGUUAUGAGGCAGUGUUUAUGCAAUCUACUGUAUAACCACUGCCUCAUACCUGAAUGCUAAGUCACGUGACUCCAUUGACUCGUGAAAAAGCAUGCAGCUUUUUGCUUCAAAGCAGGGUAUACAGGAUUUAUUCAGCCUCUCAGAAAUUCAUGUGCAGCCUGACUUGAUUGUGGCAGGGUAUAAGAGAUUUAUUACCCUGCUGGGAAAUUUAUUUCCCUCCAAGGCGGGAUACCUAGUAUUUUAUCAAGAUCACAUGGACCAAUAAGAUCUCAUCAUUCUGACAUGGAGGUAUGAUGUACAAUGUGUCAGCCUAUGUACCUUGAGCCAGUAGGUGAGUCUCAAACACAGGGUUCACCACAACAUAUACCCCGAGGUACUGGUUGAAAAUGAAUUUAUCUUACAGGCAUUAUUUUAACCAUUCGUCUAAAAGUCUCAUUUAACUGCAUUUGGUUAGUGUUCAGGUUUGACAUAAUAUGCUUAUACCAUAGUAUACACUCUGGUAAGAAGUUUGUAAUUUUCCAACGGUCUAUAUGAAAUUUGUACUUUAUCUGUCAGCAGGGUACAUGGGGAAAAAUUGCCUUUCAGUUAACCAAUCAGAAACAAGUAUGAUAAUGCCAGGUAAAAUAAAGAAACAUUCAUCAAUGAAAUAGGUGCAAGUUGUCAUAUUCACUGGGUGCCUGGACAAUUUGAUACAAUAACCAUCAAUGUUGCACAAUUGCAGCCGAACUAUUGUUGAUAGAUUUUUUGGGUCACUUAAGUAGAAUCUUUCAAACGGUAUAAGCCAAAUUCAAACCCUCUUUUUAUGAAAAUCACUAUUUUCAUAUGAGAUAAUGGCUGGAUAUAGACAGUUUGAAAAUAAUAGUUUCAGAUAUUUUUUUCCAUUAGAAAAUUAUUUUUUAUGACAGAUCUAUGAUGGCUAUUUUAAAUGAUGUGUGAAAGCAGAUGGUUGGCGAUAAGAAGCUGGGAUAUGCAUGUUUGAUAAAAGUAUGUGUUACAGAUAUUGACAUUCUGUGUUGUUGCAUAUAGAUGUCCAUGUUUUAUUGUUGUUAAUAAAAUGUAUGCAGCUGUG